rnacentral:rRNA from 1 species
GACGAACGCUGGCGGCGUGCCUAACACAUGCAAGUCGAGCGAAGUGAGUACUACGGUACGAACUUAGCGGCGGACGGGUGAGUAACGCGUGGACAAUCUACCCUGUAGACUGGGAUAACACCUCGAAAGGGGUGCUAAUACCGGAUAAUGUCGAGAAGCGGCAUCGCUUUUCGAAGAAAGGAUAGAAGCCGCUAUAGGAGGAGUCCGCGUCCCGUUAGCUAGUUGGUGAGGGUAACGGCCCACCAAGGCGACGAUGGGUAGCCGGCCUGAGAGGGUGAACGGCCACACUGGAACUGAGACACGGUCCAGACUCCCACGGGAGGCAGCAGUGGGGAAUAUUGUGCAAUGGGGGAAACCCUGACACAGCAACGCCGCGUGAGCGAAGAAGGCCUUCGGGUUGUAAAGCUCAAUAGUAUGGGAAGAUAAUGACGGUACCAUACGAAAGCCCCGGCUAACUACGUGCCAGCAGCAGCCGCCGUAA